rnacentral:lncRNA from 1 species
CGUUCCCAAAUAUCAACAAGCAUUUCUGGCGCCGUUGCCGGGGAGAAAGACGGUUGCUGAGAUAACCUGUGUCUUGCUACUAGCUUGUAUCUAUACUUUUAUCUUUUUUAUCUUUUAUAUUCUUUAUUUAUUUUCUUUAUUCUUACCUUAUGGAAAACCAAAAUUCUAAAUCGAUCCAUGAGUCUGCAAUCCCUUUAGCAACUGACCUUUUACCAUGGGAAUCAUCACAGCCUAUCCAAACACCCCAGUAUAAGUUAAGUUCUAGGUUGAUUGCCAUGAUUCAAAACCUAUCUUUUUCGGGAAAGGAAGACGAAAACCCUUACCUUCAUAUUAGAGAUUUUGAGCAAACAUGUGAUUGUCUUCGC